rnacentral:lncRNA from 10 species
CAAGAAAGGGGGAGGAGACCUGCCUCUGAAGCUCUGUAAGGAGGAGGCAAAGGGCUCUGUAGUGGGAGGGAGCUGAUGCUUCUGGGGCUCCUCCUCCUGGGGCCAGGCAGGUGCUGGGCACUUUUGUGCAGUUCCCUGGGCCAACCUCCACAGCGCCCCGCCUCGAGGGCACCAUUGGCCCCACUUUUCUGUUAAAGCGCUAGGGUCCAGAGGGGUUGCGUCACAGGCUUGAGGUCACACAGCCAGUAAGAGCCUGCGCCCGGAUUUGAACCCUGGUCCGCCUGCUCCUCUUUACUAAAAGGAGGAAGCAAAAGAGGAGGAGAAGGCAGAGGAAGGCGACGACUGAGAACAAAAGAAGAGCAGUGGCAAAGGAGUGGCUUUUGUGGACAAGAUGCGACCACCUCAUGAGGAUCAAGAUGUACUCCUUGCUCUUCUCUGCACAGCAGUCUCAAAACUAGGCUACACCGUCUGUCUCCUCUGGUCACCAUUUUGAGAGGCAGCAAGGGUCUUCCUAACCCUCAGCUCCCUCUGAUUUUUGGAAUUCAGAUUUGGAUUUUGGAUGUACAUCAAGAGGCUGGCUCCACGCAUUUUAAUUAAGUUGUCUUUUUUCAUUUAUUACUAAUACACUCCUCUUAACUAUGAUU